UUUGCUGAACGCACUGUGGACCGGCCCCAAUGCUAGGGCCACGGUUAAGAAUGAAGAGGAUACUCCCUGGCCUUCUGAAUGUUAAGUAGGAGGCUAGCAGGGAGACAGAUUUUUAUCAGUUCAACAAUAUUCCUUCCAAACUCUGUGUUAGCUGUAAAGAUACAGGAGUGAAAACCAGAAAUGAUCUCUACCCUCCUGGAGCUCCCAAAUGUCCAGCAGCUUUGGUUUCAAGUCACCCUCUUUGAGAAGACUGAUCAAAGAUAAAGCAAAGUGGGCUCAGGAAGCAGACAGCACAUCCUGAGACUUAACGGUCCCAAAGCCACAGAGAGGACCAGGCAUCACGCUCCAGGCAGUAUUACUGAGCCACUGAGACCCUUCUCGUGGGAAGGACCAGCCUGACCGGGACGGGGCGGCUCAGACUCAGCUCAGGACCCACAGGACUGCCCAUGUGCUGGAGCGAUGUGACGCUUUCCAGGGAGGCAGAAAAGCGUAGGCUUCAGUGUAACACAGGGGUUGACUUGCCACCAGUCAUCUGACUGUGACCCACAGGCCCCAUUUGUAAAAGGGGGAUGAUGCUGGCCUCCCAGGGUCUGUGGCGGAGGCGCUCGGCACCCAGAGGGCGUGUGAUACCAAAAAUUAAACAAAUCUGAACUGAUGACA